rnacentral:rRNA from 1 species
GCAUAUCAAUAAGCGGAGGAAAAGAAACCAACAGGGAUUGCCCUAGUAACGGCGAGUGAAGCGGCAACAGCUCAAAUUUGAAAUCUGGCGUCUUCGGCGUCCGAGUUGUAAUUUGCAGAGGGCGCUUUGGCAUUGGCAGCGGUCCAAGUUCCUUGGAACAGGACGUCACAGAGGGUGAGAAUCCCGUACGUGGUCGCUAGCCUUUACCGUGUAAAGCCCCUUCGACGAGUCGAGUUGUUUGGGAAUGCAGCUCUAAAUGGGAGGUAAAUUUCUUCUAAAGCUAAAUACUGGCCAGAGACCGAUAGCGCACAAGUAGAGUGAUCGAAAGAUGAAAAGCACUUUGGAAAGAGAGUUAAAAAGCACGUGAAAUUGUUGAAAGGGAAGCGCUUGCAGCCAGACUUGCCUGUAGUUGCUCAUCCGGGUUUUUACCCGGUGCACUCUUCUAUAGGCAGGCCAGCAUCAGUUUGGGCGGUUGGAUAAAGGUCUCUGUCAUGUACCUCUCUUCGGGGAGAACUUAUAGGGGAGACGACAUGCAACCAGCCUGGACUGAGGUCCGCG